rnacentral:rRNA from 1 species
AUGACGGCACCUGCACGAGAGAUGAGCUUACUGUGGGCUGAUGGGAAUCUAUUGAUAGUUGAGCUGAAGGAAGUGCCAGUCGUUUGGCAGGUCACUUGGGAUGCAGAUGGCAGUGCCUGCUACCGUCAGCUCAGCAAUCUAAUGGGCUAUAAUGCAUUUGUGGUACCUGGAUUGAGCGGGUUUAUCUUACCAGCUGCUGAUGGUGCUCUCGGAAACAAGGUUUAUGUCGGAAAUGACCACUCCACGGACUGUUAUGCCUACAGUCUCACUGAACGAGUGUUUGAGAACCUUAUGCCCUGUGAGAGUUUCAACGUCCAUUCUGCUUGCAAGGCUCGAUGGGUUGCGCUGAGGGGGGCUGUUCUCGAGGAGGACUAUGUGUGA